AACAAGUACAGUGAUGGAAAGAUGAAAAGAACUUUGAAAAGAGAGUGAAAAAGUACGUGAAAUUGUUGAAAGGGAAGGGCAUUUGAUCAGACAUGGUGUUUUGUGCCCUCUGCUCCUUGUGGGUAGGGGAAUCUCGCAUUUCACUGGGCCAGCAUCAGUUUUGGUGGCAGGAUAAAUCCAUAGGAAUGUAGCUUGCCUCGGUAAGUAUUAUAGCCUGUGGGAAUACUGCCAGCUGGGACUGAGGACUGCGACGUAAGUCAAGGAUGCUGGCAUAAUGGUUAUAUGCCGCCCGUCUUGAAACACGGACC
rnacentral:rRNA from 1 species